rfam:Lepisosteus oculatus unplaced genomic scaffold TNK347, whole genome shotgun sequence.
ACCCAGACAGCUCAGUCAGUAGAGGAUCAGGCUUUUAAUCUGAGGGUCCAGGGUUCAAGUCCCUGUUCGGGUA